AGGCGGGAAAUCACGACGUCGAUUGCGUAAUUCGUGAGGCGACCCCUCAUGCCAGCGUUCUGACUUUGAGUUUCCUUAACUGCCCCCGGGCGUGUUCGCCACCUCGUACACCAAAUUAAGCUUCGUUGCGCUUCUUGGAAUGGUCCAGAACUGUAGGAGACUGUUAGGAUCUCUAUCCUGCAGGGGAAGCCCCCGUCUCACUGUCCACCACGUACCAACAGCAGUCGAGCACAGCACUCUACAACCCAAUUCAGGGCGUUGCUCGCGUUGGGAACUAGAAUCAACGGUCGUAAGUCAACCCGUGAGAUUCCACUGACGGCCACUGUUUGGCCUCCUUCCACCCCUACUGCAGUUUAGUAGUACGGGGAAUACUGGACCCGAUGUGUGCACGAUGUUACCUGUCUUGUUUCCCGUCGCUUUGGCGCUCCAAUUCGGUUAGGGUGUUUAGACAAGAGUCAAGCCUAGCGUCAGACGUUGAGCUGACGCACUUCGACCUUAGCGAUCAUUAGCGCCUAGUCGUACGGCGCCACUUAUGCAAGGGCCCGGAACAUGUGUGGCGGGCAGUGUGGUGCUCUCAAACAUUGUGGGCUUCAGCCACUCCAUUGGAAAUCCU
rnacentral:rRNA from 1 species